rnacentral:lncRNA from 1 species
GAGGCUGAAGUGAAUGCACCAUAACAACUCCAGAGACAGAACCAGUCACCAGCCAAACAUUACCAGGCCAGCAGGAGAGCAGCUGCAUCAUUCCCAUACAGGGCAUUUCCAUCAUGGCCACCUUUCAGGCCAAUCAAGAAGCAAGAGAAGAUUCCAAGGUACUUGACAGACAAGACAGUCUUGCUCAUAUUCUACACUGGAGCCAAAAGCAAUCCCUGCAAUAUAUAUACAGUAGAUGCAAAAUAACCUUAGUUGUAAAAAGCGAAGGUCAUAGAAACUCCCACCAAGUAAAUAUUCAUCCUUACAGUUCUUUGCCUGAUGCUAAAUGGUUCUCAUAAUACUUCUAAGGUAAAGACUCCCCAUCAGAUUCACCCCCUUGCACUCCCAUCCGCCUCUGGCAGGGUCUGAGUAGCUUUUGCAUUUCUACUGUGGGUAGGAAUCAAUCCUGUGGCCAUUAGACCAUGAUCUCUUUUGUUUUAAGACAAAAUGUUAGAGCUUAAGUAUUGCUGUAAAAUGAAACAAUAUCUUUGGCACUGCAUUUAAAAUAACAACCUGCCUAAAGGCAAAAUUCUCUUCCCCUCAUCACACAGUGAUGAAUCUCUAUUUCACAUUCUGUGCUUGUUGGGCAAGCAGCCCCACCCCCAGGCACUGUGAGAGAGAACCUUGAGUAGAUAAUGAGUGCAGAACCUGGGAGUCAAGCAGUGCAUGAACGAUCUGUUGCUGUGGGUGCAAAAGAAAUUUGGCCCAAAGCACAGCCAUUAAAUAUAUACUGUGUUGAUGAUGAGGUUGGGAAAGGGGGACUGAAUAAUGCAUUUUGAUAUUUUAAAGAUAACCUUCUCUUCAUCUAAAUAUCUUGGUUUAAAGAAAGCCAUUUUUACAAAGAGGAGAGUAAUGCCUUUUCAGACAUACUCUUUUGAGUAUGUCAGAGGAUAUGUGCAUCAUAUUUGUCUAAAGAUUAGCACAAACUAUAUUUUACUGAUAUAUUUGAAGUAAUUACUGAAAAAAAUACCCCGAGUUCCUUGAAAUCUUUAGAAUUAAGAGACUUUGGCUCGAAAUGCACAUUAAAGAAAUAUUCCAAAAGUAUAAUACAUUUUUGUUGCAUAUUACCUUAAAGUUAAUUGGAGAAAUGUUUACAUAGGAUCAUUCACUUUGCACCAUUGUGGAAAAGCUCACAUUUUGUGGAAAGUUGUCCAGACCCUGACUAUCACACCACAACAAAUCCAACUUUCCAAUAAAAGACCAUUAUAUAUAGCUCUUGGGAUGCUG